rnacentral:misc_RNA from 1 species
AACGCACGAGACCUGCGGACCUGCGGAAGGAUCAUUACUGAGUUUUACACUCAAUCACCUCUGUGAACUUAUCUGUUGCUUUGGCAGGGAGCUAGCUUUUAGAAGGCUACUAAUUGUCAGGGGAGGGCCUUUUUUGGCAAUCUACCCUGUGCCCUGCCGAAGGCGUUUUAAAUCAUAUUUUUUAGUGACUUUUCUGAUAAUCUUAUAAUACAUAUAAACUUUUAACAACGGAUCUCUAGA